rnacentral:sRNA from 1 species
AGCAGGUAUUGCCUAUGUAAGCAUUCUCCAUAAGGCACAAAGUAUGGUGUGUCUCUCUUGAAUUGAGUUUUGCUGAAUUUGCAUAUAGUAAGUUAUAAUAGCUUAGAGCUUCAUUUGAACUUAAUUGCGGGUACAUGUGGUUAUUUUGAAUAAGCCCUUGUUUAGCUUCUCUAUGCAAAACAACAGUUUUGACUUAUUUCUGAUUUUUUUUUGUGCACAAAACUCAAUGUGUGAACUUCAAAUUCCACAUUUACAAUAAAACGUUAUUGGGCUUAGAGAUAUUGUGUCAUAUUGUGUACUUGCUGAGUUUGAUUUUCUGAUUUUCUAUGUGAAGGGUAUGCUUAAGGAAUUUUUGUCAUUUUUCCAUAAUAUAUAAACUGCUUUUAUUAUUGUGCCAUAUUUUGUUCGAAGUGCUACAGCAAAACUGUAUUGUUCAUCAAUUUUACUUUGCAUACGUUUCAACCAUCCCCUAUACAUGCGCGGAUCCAGAAAUUUUUCUCAGAGAGGUCCAAGGCCUUUUUCGGUAAUUUUAAUAUAUGUGAAUAUAGGAAGUUUAAAGACCCCCCCCCUUCCCCUCUUGAUCCGCGCAUGCUUAUAUGGUUGGAAAUGCUUAUCCCUGCAUGAAUAGGGGGAAUGCUUAAAAGAUAAUAUGGGCAAAAUCCAUUGCUACCGCCCUUUUCUCUCGCGGGUUUAUUUUUGUUUGUUUAUGUUUAUCCAAAAGCUGUAAUAUACAAAUCGUCUCUGCUUGCCACAUGCUUGAAGAAAAUUAAAUCAAAAUAAGCGAACUUUUAUUCAAUAUCUUCUGACUGCAUUUUGGCAAGCAAUGUAUUAAAAUUAUAACUAGUUCAAACAGGAGGGCAUUUUAUGUUGAAUUUUAUUACCAUAAUUACAUCGUUUUAGUGUUCGUAUGUUUUUCUUUUCUUUUUUUUUUUUCCUCUCACAUAUUUGUUUCUUUGAAUUUUGUUAAAUAGGUUCAGACCUAUUGAAGAAUAAACUGAUUUGACAAUAAAUGCGAAAACU